GACGAACGCUGGCGGCGUGCUUAACACAUGCAAGUCGAACGAUGAAGCUAGAGCUUGCUCUGGUGGAUUAGUGGCGAACGGGUGAGUAACACGUGAGUAACCUGCCCCGAACUCUGGGAUAACUGCUGGAAACGGUAGCUAAUACCGGAUAUGACCAAUGAAGGCAUCUUCUGUUGGUGGAAAGAAUUUCGGUUCGGGAUGGACUCGCGGCCUAUCAGCGUGUUGGUGAGGUAACGGCUCACCAAGGCGACGACGGGUAGCCGGCCUGAGAGGGUGAUCGGCCACACUGGGACUGAGACACGGCCCAGACUCCUACGGGAGGCAGCAGUGGGGAAUAUUGCACAAUGGGCGCAAGCCUGAUGCAGCAACGCCGCGUGAGGGACGACGGCCUUCGGGUUGUAAACCUCUUUUAGUAGGGAAGAAGCGAAAGUGACGGUACCUGCAGAAAAAGCACCGGCUAACUACGUGCCAGCUGCCGCGGUAA
rnacentral:rRNA from 1 species